rnacentral:lncRNA from 1 species
GGAAUUAAAAUGAUUUUUAUAAGGUAUAUUUUUAGAGAACUUAGGGUUAUUGAAAAGUUAUGUUUAUUAUUGUUUGUUUUCUUAUUGUUGAAUUUUUCAAAAUUUUCUGCUUCAGCUAAAGGAGCAUUAUGAUAAGGUUUAACAGUAACUUAGAAGAAACUUUCAUGAUAUAUAGACAGACAUAACAGACAAUGUAGACAUAUGCACAUACAUGUUUGUGUACAUAUAUGUAUGUGUUAAUUAUGCUUAUCUGCAAAGUUGUUCAGAAAUCCUUUUUUGUUUGAAUCUUUGAUGUGUUGCUAUUAAAAGUUUUUAUAGUCUGUUCAACAGCUUUGAAGAAUUUACAGUAACUUAACAAUGGUCUUUUUCAUCACUUUUCCUUACACAGUUUUAUAGGAGACAUUUUUUUGUUUGUUUGCUUGUUUUUGCUUUUUUUUUUAAAGAGAGAGGAGAGAGAGAGAGAGAAUUUUUUAAUACUUAUUUUUCAGUUUUCGGUGGACACACCAUCUUUAUUUUUAUUUUAUGUGGUACCGAGGAUCGAACCCAGCACCCCGUGCAUGCCAGGCGAGCGCGUUACCGCUUGAGCCACAUCCCCAGCCAAGACAUUUGUUUUUUUAAUGUAUCUCUGAUAUUAGAAUAUUUUCUUAUAUUUCAAUCUUAAGUGUAAUUUUUUAAAAUUCUGGCUACUUGAUUUUGAAAUAAUAUUAGUCUGCUUCACUUAAAGUAUAAAUGACUGCCCUAUAGAAAUGUAUUUUUGUAGUAAAAUUCAGUAAGUGCAAUUUAAAAGUAGUAAUAAUUUUACUACAAAAAACAUUUCUAUAGUUUAUAUUGGAAGAUUUAAAAUAAUUUAUAAGAUUGUAUGAUGAUAUAAGGAAUAUUUAGAGAAAGUCAUUGAAGAGAGAUCUGUAGUAAAUUACUAUCUUCCUUUUGAAUUUGUAUUUACUGAGGGAACUGAUAUCUUUUUAAAGAAAACCAUAAGGCCAGAAAUUACAUCCUGACCCAGGUGUAGAGAAUCUUAAAACCUCAGGCUGAUGGGGUCAUCCUUCUCAUGGGUAUCUGGGAGCAUUGGAGGGUUAGAUCAGGACCAGGGAAGAAAUUGAAAGUUUCUACACCAAGGAAUGACAUGAUCUCAGAUGUUCUCUAGAAAGAAUAGGGGAACUUGUCAUCAGUAGCUUAUGGCACUGUGCAUAUUCAUAUUUUACCUUAGGUUAAAGUUGGUAACGAUAAUGAUGAUGCUUCCAUGAUGUUUGGUUUAUUAGAUCUGUCAUUCAUACCAUCCCCACAUUCCUCUCCCUGACAGUCGGAUAUGUUACGGUCGCUAUCGAAUACAAAACCUACAGUCAAUGAACAUGACUUGUUGAAGUUAAAGAAGUUUACAGAAGAUUUUGGCCAAGAAGGCUAAACCAAAGACAACAAGGAAGACGUUUACCAUAUGUAUUCUUUCUUUUCAUAGAUACUUUUGCCUUUCUUGGGUGGCAUCCAAUUAUUUCCAGUUAAGCUCUUGUACUACAGGGAAAUAUACAUCUCACUUCAGAUUCCUUUAAGUUUUAUACUAUACUUUCCUCCAUUACUUAUUAAAUACUCCAACUAACAAAAAUUGUAAAAUAAUGCAUUUAUAAGGAAAUGAGUAAAAUGUAAAUGGCAUGAAACUAGAAAUUACCCAGUAAAAAGAAUAUUGAACAUUGAUUGACACAAAUAUUUAGAAUUUUUUAUGAGUGGUGGACUUAGCAAAGAGCAUUUGACUUUUUUUUUUAAUAAAAUGAAAUAGGGCUUUAUAUUUUGAAAAUAAAUUGUUGAACAUUCUUAUCAAUGUGAAAUUUACUUCAUUAAAAAAUUUGAAAUAAUAGAAACUUUACUCUCAGGGAUGGGCAAUAAAACAAUAAAGAGUACUGUGGUUGGUUUAGAAAGAUUUUGAAUUGUGUUAUAGCCAGUGCUCUUAUUGAUUUUAAUAGGUUGAUUUUUUUUUUCUGUAUAGAUUAAAGUAAUUUCUUUAAAGAAAGCAAGAUUUUGUAUUUAACUAAAUGAUUCCUUUCACUGUGCGAUCUCAAGAGAAAGACUUUCUAAAUUAGGCAUUGUCUUUACCUUGAAGAAUAAAAUUGUCAAUCCCAUUGUCUUUUUGUAGCAAGAUUGACCAAAACAGGUGGUAAAUAAGUAUGAAUUUUUAAAAUUACUGUCAUAAAAUACUGUAAUGGGAAUCUUUACCAAUAAGAAAGUGGCCUCCCUUUGGAUUAUGGGAAGUUUCCUGUGUGUGAUGUGGGUGUGUACAUAUAUAUGUAUAUAUAUAUAAAUUUUUUAAAAAAUAUAAAGUAACAGGGGUCUUGUCUUUCAUCCUUUAAGUUCAGGAAACAGUUUGUCCUUGAAAGAUAUAUGUUAUCAGUGUAACACUUAUGAACCUUUAGAAAUGAACUGAUGUUCAUAUAAUAAAAUAUAAACAUGAUAAUAAUGUUUUUCCAAAAUCUUCAAAUAAAUAUUCUGAAGGUAUGUGUUACACACUUCAGCAUCAACACUAAGUUGUGCCUUGUACAUUUGCAUUGAUCAUAUAUGCAAAAGAUUAUUAAAUUAGCUAGAAUGAGGUAGAGUCCUUAAUUACUAUAAAUUCUACCUUGCAAAUGCUAUAUAGUAACUUGCAUUUUAAAGUAUUUUUGCACAUUUUACAUAUUAUGCUAUGGGUUUUACAUAUUAUGCCUUUGGGUUUUCUGUACAGAUUGUUUUUGUUGAUAUUAAAUAGAAAUCAUAGGCCCAAAAUACGCUGUUCUUAUGUGAAGUAAAUUGAUGUAAUCUCUAUUGACUAUAUUCUGUGUAUGCAUCUUUAUUUGGGGAACUUCUAUAUAGGAGAAAACAUGAUCUAAAGAAGGACAGAUUGACAGCUAACCAUAGGAAUUAAUCUCCUCUGGAACCCUAUAAAAUGACAAAAUAUUUUUAAAAGACAGAAAACCAGAACCACAAAGAUAGUUCUUAAACGAAAAUACUUCAGAGAGGUGCUGCUCACCCAAACUGCCUCCCUGGUUUGGCGAUGCGCUGGCCUCCCACGCACUGCAGGAACCUAAGUGGGAGAUCCUGUUUUCUUUAUCACUUGGCA